GGUCCGAUGGUGUAGUCGGUUAUCACGUGAGCUUAACACGCUCAAGGUCCUCAGUUCGAUCCUGGGUCGGAUCA